AAAAGGGGGACAAAAUAAUCAAUGCCUGGUGACCUGGUGGUGAGGAUGAUGAUGAUAAUCUCAGCAUUGAUCUUUUUCAGAACUGGAAUGCCACCCUUUUGCCAGGAGGUUGGCUCAGAAAUGAACCCCAGAACUUGCCCCGCUUCUGUGCCCUAACACAAGGCAAAGCACUGUCAAGCAGUUUGAGGAAAAGAAAAAAAAAGGAACCAUUUGAGGAAGAUGGAGUAAAUGAUCAAGCCUCUGUAGGCAAUUCUGAAGUCUGAUCUUCUAAAGCAUUGCUGCCAGAGAAGAGGCCACAGGAGGCAUGUUAGGUUCAGGCCAUUUGACCUGCAGUGCCUCUACCAGUCUGGAUUUUAGGGACUGCGUACUCUGGGUACAGUUUAAUCUGUUCUUCUACCCUCUGUAUUUUAUGUAAAUUGGAAGCUGGAUUCAAAGGCUUGGUAAGACUCAGGUUAGAUCCCUCGGUAAGACUAUUCUUUCUUUUGAGGGCACAAUAAUAACAUUUGCUUCUUUUUCUGUGUUGUCAGUAGCUACUUAAUGUCUAGAUCUAUCGAUUCUUAGAGAUUGCCAGUGAUAUUUUAAUUCCAUCAUUUAAAAAAUGUAUUAGUUGGGAUAAUUUAUACAAGACACUUCUCUCAUAUAUUAUUUGGUUACCUGCUAGUACAGUUCAUAUAGGAAAAGCAGCAUAAUAAAUGCUUGGUUACAAUUGAUUCCCUACCAGCCUCUGAAGGCAAUCAAUCAGUUUAAAAAAAAAAAACUAUUUUGCUCUCAUAUUCCAUACUAUAGCUCAUGAUUCAUUGAAAUUAACGGCAAUGCUGAUAAUACUUUCUACUAUUUCUUGAGUGCCUACUAUGUGCCAAGCAUUUUGCCUGAUACUUAUCACAAUGUAAGAUGCAAAAGCUUUUGAUAUGUGUAUCAUCAACACCUUUAACCCUGGUUAACUCCACUCACCUACCAACCAUCUUAAAAGUUAUAAUGAGAAAGUGAUACUACAAUCUGUACUGAAUUAUAAGCACUGCCACUGGGUUAGGAGAUGUUCAGUCAUCUGUAAUUAAAGUGAAUCUGAAUAUGUUUAUUUUACUUGUUAUUUGCCCACAGAUUCACACUGUUCCCAUUUUGCAAGUGUGCUGUGCCUGCUUUUAACUUUUCAUAUUUGAAGGAAAGUCAGUCCUUAAAAAUUAAAAGUAAAAAAUUACAGACUUUCAAUAAAGUUUAAAGGGAUCCAUUUUAACCUUAAAUCAGGAAAAAAGAAGGCAAAAUGAGUCACGAAGCUGACAGAGUAGAAGAUGGAAAGACCCUAAAGAGGACUUGCCACCCAAUGUGACAGUGCAGGACAGUGUCUGCUCUGGAUCCUCAUUCUGUUUAUCAAAGAGGAACAAUAAGAAUUCUUCAAAGGAAACACUGAGCAGAGCUGGAAGGGCAACCUCUGAUGUAUCCAUCUUAAUACACCGCUUCCAUUAAAUGACAUCUGUAUUUCCUGACCAAGAGUUGGAAGACCUUUGAUAUAUUAAGAUCCCUUCUUGCAAAAGUAUAUUGGCAUCAAAGGACUGGGUAAUAUUCUAAAAGGGGAAUGUGGAAACCUCACCUCCAGAAGAACAAGAGCAUCAACGUAAGGAGCUUUGGAAUGAGGGAAGUUAAACAUUGGACAGAGAGAACUUCUUCAGAGUGAAAAACUAAAGCAAUGCCAAAAUUUCAUUCUAACCGAAAUGAUUAAUCCCAAUACAUUUUUCUUAUUGCCCUAAAUAUUUCUUUGAUAAUGUCCAAAUCUGAAUACAUGGCAUCAGAAAUUCUUACGGCAAAACAUUACUGUCCAGAAUCAAAUAAUACAUUUGUAGCGUGAAGUACAUGGUCUCCUCUAUUCGCUUGUGGGCCUCAGGUGCUAGAUAGAGUACAGUGUGUGUGUGCAAACAUGCAUACGUGUAUAUGUGUGCAUGGGCUCUGACUUUGCCUCCAUAAGGUUUAGAGUGGCUCAGCACAGCAGGCGCUGCUAUAUUAACUACCACCUUUGAGCUUGCCUUGCUAAGAAAGAAAAACUUCUUACGACCAAGUGAAAAGUGCGCCA